GGGGGCGGGCGCGGGAAUUCGAUUCAGGCCUAACACAUGCAAGUCGAGCGGUAACACAGGGAGCUUGCUCCUGGGUGACGAACGGCGGACGGGUGAGUAAUGUCUGGGGAUCUGCCUGAUGGAGGGGGAUAACUACUGGAAACGGUAGCUAAUACCGCAUAACGUCGCAAGACCAAAGAGGGGGACCUUCGGGCCUGUUGCCAUCAGAUGAACCCAGAUGGGAUUAGCUAGUAGGUGAGGUAAUGGCUCACCUAGGCGACGAUCCCUAGCUGGUCUGAGAGGAUGACCAGCCACACUGGAACUGAGACACGGUCCAGACUCCUACGGGAGGCAGCAGUGGGGAAUAUUGCACAAUGG
rnacentral:rRNA from 1 species